UGGGGAAUAUUGGACAAUGGGCGAAAGCCUGAUCCAGCCAUGCCGCGUGUGUGAAGAAGGUCUUCGGAUUGUAAAGCACUUUAAGUUGGGAGGAAGGGCAGUAAGCGAAUACCUUGCUGUUUUGACGUUACCGACAGAAUAAGCACCGGCUAACUCUGUGCCAGCAGCCGCGGUAAUACAGAGGGUGCAAGCGUUAAUCGGAAUUACUGGGCGUAAAGCGUGCGUAGGUGGUUCGUUAAGUUGAAUGUGAAAGCCCCGGGCUCAACCUGGGAACUGCAUCCAAAACUGGCGAGCUAGAGUAGGGCAGAGGGUGGUGGAAUUUCCUGUGUAGCGGUGAAAUGCGUAGAUAUAGGAAGGAACACCAGUGGCGAAGGCGACCACCUGGGCUCAUACUGACACUGAGGUGCGAAAGCGUGGGGAGCAAACAGG
rnacentral:rRNA from 1 species